CAAGAAGUAGUUUAAAUAAAAUAUUAACAUUGGAAGUUAGAGAUUAAGUAAAACUUAUUUCUUGA
rnacentral:tRNA from 1 species